rnacentral:rRNA from 1 species
UAAGGGGGGACGGAGGAGGCUAUGUUGGCCGGGCGACGGUUGUCCCGGUUUAAGCGUGUAGGCUGGUUUUCCAGGCGAAUCCGGAAAAUCAAGGCUGAGGCGUGAUGACGAGGCACUACGGUGCUGAAGCAACAAAUGCCCUGCUUCCAGGAAAAGCCUCUAAGCAUCAGGUAACAUCAAAUCGUACCCCAAACCGACACAGGUGGUCAGGUAGAGAAUACCAAGGCGCUUGAGAGAACUCGGGUGAAGGAACUAGGCAAAAUGGUGCUGUAACUUCGGGAGAAGGCACGCUGAUAUGUAGGUGAAGCGACUUGCUCGUGGAGCUGAAAUCAGUCGAAGAUACCAGCUGGCUGCAACUGUUUAUUAAAAACACAGCACUGUGCAAACACGAAAGUGGACGUAUACGGUGUGACGCCUGCCCGGUGCCGGAAGGUUAAUUGAUGGGGUUAGCGCAAGCGAAGCUCUUGAUCGAAGCCCCGGUAAACGGCGGCCGUAACAAUAACGGUCCUAAGGUAGCGAAAUUCCUUGUCGGGUAAGUUCCGACCUGCACGAAUGGCGUAAUGAUGGCCAGGCUGUCUCCACCCGAGACUCAGUGAAAUUGAACUCGCUGUGAAGAUGCAGUGUACCCGCGGCAAGACGGAAAGACCCCGUUAACCUUUACUAUAGCUUGACACUGAACAUUGAGCCUUGAUGUGUAGGAUAGGUGGGAGGCUUUGAAGCGUGGACGCCAGUCUGCAUGGAGCCGACCUUGAAAUACCACCCUUUAAUGUUUGAUGUUCUAACGUUGACCCGUAAUCCGGGUUGCGGACAGUGUCUGGUGGGUAGUUUGACUGGGGCGGUCUCCUCCUAAAGAGUAACGGAGGAGCACGAAGGUUGGCUAAUCCUGGUCGGACAUCAGGAGGUUAGUGCAAUGGCAUAAGCCAGCUUGACUGCGAGCGUGACGGCGCGAGCAGGUGCGAAAGCAGGUCAUAGUGAUCCGGUGGUUCUGAAUGGAAGGGCCAUCGCUCAACGGAUAAAAGGUACUCCGGGGAUAACAGGCUGAUACCGCCCAAGAGUUCAUAUCGACGGCGGUGUUUGGCACCUCGAUGUCGGCUCAUCACAUCCUGGGGCUGAAGUAGGUCCCAAGGGUAUGGCUGUUCGCCAUUUAAAGUGGUACGCGAGCUGGGUUUAGAACGUUGUGAGACAGUUCGGUCCCUAUCUGCCGUGGGCGCUGGAGAACUGAGGGGGGCUGCUCCUAGUACGAGAGGACCGGAGUGGACGCAUCACUGGUGUUCGGGUUGUCAUGCCAAUGGCACUGCCCGGCAGCUAAAUGCGGAAGAGAUAAGUGCUGAAAGCAUCUAAGCACGAAACUUGCCCCGAGAUGAGUUCUCCCUGACUCCUUGAGUGUCCUGAAGGAACGUUGUAGACGACGACGUUGAUAGGCCGGGUGUGUAAGCGCAGCGAUGCGUUGAGCUAACCGGUACUAAUGAACCGUGAGGCUUAACCUU